GACGAACGCUGGCGGCGUGCCUAAUACAUGCAAGUAGAACGGUUUGCGAACGGGUGAGUAACGCGUAGGAACCUUCCUCAUCGCGCGGGACAACUAUUGGAAACGCUAGCUAACACUGCCUACUGUGAGUUGGACCUGCGUUGUAUUGGCUAGUUAGUGAGGUAAAGGCUCACCAAGGUAACGAUCCUUAGCAGGUCUGAGAGGAUGACCGGCCAGACAGGAACUGAGACACGGUCAAGAGUCCUACGGGAGGCAGCAGUGGGGAAUGUUGGACAAUGGGCGCAAGCCUAAUGCAGCCAAGCCGCGUGUGUGAAGAAGGCCUUCGGGUUGUAAAAUACUUUAAGCGGAGAGGCGUUACUCGAAGAGGAAGCACCGGCUAACUCCGUGCCAGCCGCCGCGGUAAUAC
rnacentral:rRNA from 1 species